UGAGUCAGGUGACCCUAUGGACAUACCCUUA
rnacentral:piRNA from 1 species